UCCGACUUAACGUCGGCAGUCUCGCCAGAGUGCUCAGCUUGCCUGUUAGCAACUGACGACAGAGGUGGCGCUCGUUGCGGGACUUAACCCAACAUCUCACGACACGAGCUGACGACAGCCAUGCAGCACCUGUGCACGAUCUCCGAAGAGGGGCUCUCGUUUCUGAGAGCUUGCUCGUGCAUGUCAAGCCUAGGUAAGGUUCUUCGCGUUGCGUCGAAUUAAACCACAUGCUCCACCGCUUGUGCGGGCCCCCGUCAAUUCCUUUGAGUUUCAACCUUGCGGUCGUACUCCCCGGGCGGGACGCUUAAUGCGUUAGCUGCGCCACUGAUAAGCAUGCUUACCAACGGCUAGCAUCCAUCGUUUACGGCGUGGACUAC
rnacentral:misc_RNA from 1 species